rnacentral:rRNA from 1 species
UGGGGAAUUUUGGACAAUGGGCGCAAGCCUGAUCCAGCCAUGCCGCGUGAGUGAAGAAGGCCUUCGGGUUGUAAAGCUCUUUCGGACGGGAAGAAAUGGCGGGCUCUAACAUAGCCUGUCGAUGACGGUACCGUAAGAAGAAGCACCGGCUAACUACGUGCCAGCAGCCGCGGUAAUACGGAGGGUGCGAGCGUUAUUCGGAAUUACUGGGCGUAAAGCGCGUGCAGGCGGGCGGGCAAGUCUGAUGUGAAAGCCCCGGGCUUAACCUGGGAAGGGCAUUGGAAACUGCUCGUCUUGAGUACUGGAGAGGAAGGGGGAAUUCCCGGUGUAGAGGUGAAAUGCGUAGAGAUCGGGAGGAAUACCAGUGGCGAAGGCGCCCUUCUGAACGGUAACUGACGCUGAGACGCGAAAGCGUGGGGAGCAAACA